UACGUAGGGGGCAAGCGUUGUCCGGAAUCAUUGGGCGUAAAGCGCGCGUAGGCGGCCCGGUAAGUCCGCUCUGAAAGUCCAGGGCUCAACCCUGGAAAGCGGGUGGAUACUGCCGGGCUAGAAUCCGGAAGAGGCGAGUGGAAUUCCUGGUGUAGCAGUGGAAUGCGCAGAUAUCAGGAGGAACACCAAUAGCGAAGGCAGCUCGCUGGGACGGUAUUGACGCUAAGGCGCGAAAGCGUGGGGAGCGAACAGG
rnacentral:rRNA from 1 species